ACGAGCGGUUUUAUUUUGAAAGGUUUCCGCCGCAGUUACGGAGUUUCGCUGUUGUGAAUAAUUGACGCACAUUUAGACGAAGAAACAGUAAAAGGAGUAAAUAAAAAUCGUCGUUCGGUAUUAUUAGCAUUAGAGGCGCAGUGUUAAUAUUUUUGGUUUACAUGUAUCAUUAAAAUGUCAUUUGUUUUUAAGUUACAUAUGUAGUCAACUAACUGCCACUUAAUGAUCGUUAAUUAAGUCCUAAUCAUUGUGCUGCAUUGGCGCCGAUUCCGUGGGUGCUUCGGGGUUCGGGCACCCACGGAGAUUGCCGAAUACCCAGGUGUGCCCACACUUCUCAUUGAUUUGCUAAUGACCACGCCCCACUACCUAUCAACGCUUUGCAUUGUGAUGACAAACAAACUGCCAAAAUGGCUGGGUGGCAACUUGCUGCUAAAACUAGCAUAGUGGUUGAUUUUGCCAACAAAAAUGGAGAAAUGUCCACCGAACACGCAGCGUCGUCCAGUAUCUUGUCAACGACUGCAGUAGUGGUACAGACGUGAGGCAGAAAAAAUGUCGAACUUUUCAAGCUAGCUGAAAAGGCAAAUUUCCAUGGAGAGCCAACGAUGCCCAGAAAACAAGCUUCCAAAGGAAUAUGGCACACUGGACUCCUAAUUCCUUCUUCACCCUCUGCAUCUGAAAACCAAACCUCAGGAACAAUGGAGCUUUCAUUGAGGGCCAGGUCACAAGAAUAAGGUCUACACUGAUCUGAGGUCGGCUCUUUAGCAGCGGGCCCACAGAGGCGCCACUGCACACCCCUCCACAUUAAUGAGGCUGUGAGGAACAGACGGUGACGUUGCAACUGCUCACAGGUCAGAUGUUUAAGUUAGUACGAUUACAGGAAGUGUGACUGGAUCAGGAGGAUCCUCCUCAGUCCAAGACAGAACACUGAACAAACGCUGCUUCAGAAAUGGAACUGGAUAGAGAAAUAAUCGAUUCAGAAUGAUUGCACACAACCCAUGAAUCCAAGAUGGCUGCAGGUCAGACAUGAAACACAACUGAAUAUGAAUUGAACUCCCCAAGGUAUUAGCAUUUAGCUUUCAUUCUCUCAUUCAAUACAAGUUAUUUUUUUUAACAGUUAUCGAGGGCAAAUAAUAUUCAGUGAAUAGAAACUUAAAUCUGAGUUUUGUUUUUUAUGACAAAUUACCUGGAUCAGCUGAUUAGGCUAGAGCUGGCUACGUUUUAUAAAAUAUAAUUUUACUCCUUAUUUGAAAACAACAUAACCAAACAAAAUGUAGCUAAUGCUACUGUGUGCUAAUAAAAAGACUAGAAAAACAUUUGUGACACACCUUUAUUAUAAACUUUACAACAAAGCUGCGCAGCAGUUGAACAAAGGCAUCAGACAUUAGGCCUCUUGGUUUCUUGCGAGGUGUUAAAACUGUCGAUGAAUUGGAGGCAGUUGGGUAAUAGCUCAAGUCGAGUGUGAUUCCUCAUUAGCAUUUAGCGUUGGUGAUUUUAGCAGAUUUAGCAGGGUUUUUUUCUAAGCCUUUCAGGUUGUCAUAUUCCACCAAAAUGGUUUAGUCGUUUCCUUCCUGAUGUUUUUAAAGAAACAUGAGGCAGAAGAUCAGGUAGCUCAGCUUCUUUCACCUCCUCCUGGUCCCCCUCCUGCUUCAUCAUCAUCACCAUCAUCACUUAGCUCCUACUGCUGCUGCUCUGUGGUUUCUGGCUCAGGAGGUUCAGUGCCUGAAUGCUGCUCUUGUUCUCUUGACUUUUCCGAGGAGCGACCCACAUUUUCCCCUCAUUAAAAAAAGAGGAGGAACCAGCCCUUGGAGGAGUCAAGAGUCGGUAUUUCUAAACUUUGACCUCUGAUUAUUUCUGUCGCCAGCUCUGAUUGAAAACAGCUGCUCCACAAAUCAGCACUUUGAAAAAAGGUAAAUAAUCCAGAGUAAGCCUCAACUCAGUAAUAUAUGACCAGUCAUCUCAGGAAUUAUGGGUAAUUUUGGAUCAUUUCCACGCUGCCACAGUUUGGAUCUGUGUUUAAGCUGCAGCAGAAGAACAUUUUUCAGCCACUACGUCAACAUUAACCUUUUUCCAAAGCGUUAAACCAACCAUCAGUUCAGCUGAGGAAGCUAAGUUUGACUUCUGUUUUUGUACAAGAAAGGACUUAUGAUUAUGAAAAGAUGAUUUCUUUUAAUGAGCAUUAAAGAAACAUUUUGGCAUUUUCACUGAUUAUAUUUAUUAUCGGAACAAUGUGGAUUUUAUUUUACCAACUUUUAACUUGGUUUCUGGCUGAAAUCCUACCGUUCACUCUUAGCUAUAGUUGUGCAGAGGUACAUACAAUGUUUGAUUGUUUUGGUUUUGUAUUCAACUAACUUUACCUUUUGUUGUUAUUUUUCUGCCAUAAUCUUAACAUUUUGGUGAUGAUUACAAUUUUUUUACCAACUGUUUGUCUUGCUGUGUUUGCUUUAGCGAUCAGUGGUUGUUUUCAGUCCAGGCUCCUCGGGUGUCCUCUUGUCCUCUCCUCUCCAAAGAUCCAAUGGUCUUCUGACCUGGUUCCUGGUCUGCUAUUCUCUCCACAGAUUUUCUUGAAUAUUGAGGUCAGGACAGCGGGCGGUAUUUACUUCCACAUGUUUUUCACUGCAGGGACAGUGUCCUUUCAUACAUUAGAUCAGAUGGUCUCUGGUCUGUGUCCUCGUCUCUGCAGCAGAGGAUGGACUUGAACCUCACAGUCCAGUCGUUAGCAGAACACUGGAGACUGUUUGUUCAUCAGCUCCAGACUGGACUCAGUCCCGUCACCCCCACGGCACCCUCAACUUUUCACUGGCCCCCGCUGUAAAAACUCUAUGAUUGCACCACUGCCAAACAUACUUCUUGUGUGAUUUUUUUAAAUGUCUCGUAAAGAAUAAUGAAAGUAAAGAACACAGAAGAAGAAGAAGAAGAAUCGAGGGACGCGCCUCUUACCUGCUCA